rnacentral:sRNA from 1 species
UCUGGCCGUGACAGCUCUCACCUCAUUGACCACCAGGGUUGAUUUGGCUGAUCUGGCUGACGAGGUGGGUGUCCCNN